UAAGCAAAUAGUGAAAUCGUGCGGCUCAACCGCAUAUCCAUUAUUUGAACUGUAUAGCUAGAGGACAAGAGAGGUACCUGGAAUUCCCAGUGUAGGAGUGAAAUCCGUAGAUAUUGGGAGGAACACCGAUGGCGUAGGCAGGGUACUGGCUUGUUCCUGACACUAAGGCACGAAAGCGUGGGGAGCGAACGGGAUUAGAUACCCCGGUAGUCCACGCCGUAAACUAUGGAUGCUA
rnacentral:rRNA from 1 species